UACGGGAGGCAGCAGUGGGGAAUAUUGCACAAUGGGCGCAAGCCUGAUGCAGCCAUGCCGCGUGUAUGAAGAAGGCCUUCGGGUUGUAAAGUACUUUCAGUCGUGAGGAAGGUGUUAAGGUUAAUAACCUUAGCAAUUGACGUUAGCGACAGAAGAAGCACCGGCUAACUCCGUGCCAGCAGCCGCGGUAAUACGGAGGGUGCGAGCGUUAAUCGGAAUUACUGGGCGUAAAGGGCACGCAGGCGGUUAAUUAAGUUGGAUGUGAAAUCCCCGGGCUUAACCUGGGAAUGGCAUUCAAGACUGGUUAGCUAGAGUCUUGUAGAGGGGGUUAGAAUUCCAUGUGUAGCGGUGAAAUGCGUAGAGAUGUGGAGGAAUACCGGUGGCGAAGGCGGCCCCUGGGACAAAGGACUGACGCUCAUGUGCGAAAGCGUGGGGAGCAAACG
rnacentral:rRNA from 1 species